AAUGGCUGGUGUUCUAACGUUGGCCCCUUACCGGGGUUGCGGACAGUGUCUGGUGGGUAGUUUGACUGGGGCGGUCUCCUCCUAAAGAGUAACGGAGGAGCACGAAGGUUGGCUAAUCCUGGUCGGACAUCAGGAGGUUAGUGCAAUGGCAUAAGCCAGCUUGACUGCGAGCGUGACGGCGCGAGCAGGUGCGAAAGCAGGUCAUAGUGAUCCGGUGGUUCUGAAUGGAAGGGCCAUCGCUCAACGGAUAAAAGGUACUCCGGGGAUAACAGGCUGAUACCGCCCAAGAGUUCAUAUCGACGGCGGUGUUUGGCACCUCGAUGUCGGCUCAUCACAUCCUGGGGCUGAAGUAGGUCCCAAGGGUAUGGCUGUUCGCCAUUUAAAGUGGUACGCGAGCUGGGUUUAGAACGUCGUGAGACAGUUCGGUCCCUAUCUGCCGUGGGCGCUGGAGAACUGAGGGGGGCUGCUCCUAGUACGAGAGGACCGGAGUGGACGCAUCACUGGUGUUCGGGUUGUCAUGCCAAUGGCACUGCCCGGUAGCUAAAUGCGGAAGAGAUAAGUGCUGAAAGCAUCUAAGCACGAAACUUGCCCCGAGAUGAGUUCUCCCUGAGACUUAGAGUCUCCUGAAGGAACGUUGAAGACGACGACGUUGAUAGGCCGGGUGUGUAAGCGCAGCGAUGCGUUGAGCUAACCGGUACUAAUGAACCGUGAGGCUUAACCUUACAACGCCGAAG
rnacentral:rRNA from 1 species